CGUAGGAGGCAAGCGUUAUCCGGAGUAACUGGGCGUAAAGGGCGAGUAGGUGGUUGAGUAAGUUGGUUAUGAAAGCGCCUGGCUAAACUGGGCGAGGUUGACCAAGACUGCUGGACUUGAGUGGAGAAGAGGUAAACGGAAUUCCGCGUGUAGUGGUGAAAUGCGUAGAGAUGCGGAAGAACACCAGUGGCGAAGGCGGUUUACUGGUCUCCAACUGACACCGAACCGCGAAAGCAUGGGUAGCGAACGGGAUUAGAAACCCCGGUAGUCCAUGCCGUAAACGAUGCACACUAAACGUUCGACAUCCGCGAGGGUGUUGAGUGUUGAAGCCAACGCGAUAAGUGUGCCGCCUGGGGAGUACGGUCGCAAGGCUA
rnacentral:rRNA from 1 species